rnacentral:rRNA from 1 species
GUGUCAGCCGCCGCGGUAAUACGUAGGGUGCAAGCGUUGUCCGGAAUUAUUGGGCGUAAAGAGCUCGUAGGCGGUUUGUCGCGUCUGCUGUGAAAACGCGAGGCUCAACCUCGCGCCUGCAGUGGGUACGGGCAGACUAGAGUGCGGUAGGGGAGAUUGGAAUUCCUGGUGUAGCGGUGGAAUGCGCAGAUAUCAGGAGGAACACCGAUGGCGAAGGCAGAUCUCUGGGCCGUAACUGACGCUGAGGAGCGAAAGCGUGGGGAGCGAACAGGAUUAGAAACCCUAGUAGUCC